UUAUUUAUUUUCUCGUUGUGUUUUUGUUGGGUUUGUGGUUGUUUAUUGAAGUAUCAUUUUUGUUUUUGUAAGUUUUUGAUUUAAUUUUUGUUACGAUAGUUUAUUUGUACCGUGAGGGGAAGUUAAUUGUUUUGUUAAAAGCUGAUUUUGUUUGUUGUACCUUGUGUAUCAGGGUUCAUUGAAUUUUAUUAUUUAUUUUUAUUUCCCGAUUCUAAAAGAGUUAAUGGUUUAUGUUGGUUACUGUUUCAGUAGUAUUAAUAAUAGGUCAUUGGCAGUGAAAUGUUAUUCGUUUUUGGUGGUCUCUGGUUUUCCAAGAAAUGAAUUUAAUUCAUGCGUCUUAUUUAGUUGUUACUUUUGGUUUGAUUUUGUUUUAUUUGACGUUAAGAUUGAGGGGGAUUAGCUCUUCGUUUUAUUUUUAUAAUUUUUUGUUUGUUUUAAGUUUUGUGGAUUUUAUAGUGAUUUUCGGCUUGAUUAUGUUAAAAUUUUAUUUGUUCUGUUUUUGAUUUGUUUGUUUGAUUUAGUGGUUUAUUGGAAUGUUCUCUUUGUCUUUUUUUGUGUAGUAAUUAUUAUGGAAUUAGUAAAUUUUAUUUUUGUAUCGUUUUUUGGGUGCUAAUUUCUUUUGAGGAAUUAGGCNNNNNNNNNNNNNNNNNNNNAUGGUUUGACGAGACAUAUGCUGUCUUAGGUUUGUAGAAUUGGUUGUGUUGAAUUUGGUUUUUGAGUUAAAAUUCUUAAAUGUUUUUGUGGGACGAGAAGACCCUAUAGAGUUUAACAUUUGAUGUAUAGUUUUGUUUUGUUUGUUUUGGGUUGUUAUGUACGUUUCUUGUUUUGUUGGGGUGAUGGGAGGAAUUUUCGUAACUCCUCUUUGUUGUUGGGAUAUUUAUUUAUAUUUGUUUUGAUCCAUUGUUUUGAUUAUAAGAUUAAAUUACCUUAGGGAUAACAGCGUUAUCCUCCCUGAGAGUUCUUAUUGGCGGGGGGGUUUGCGACCUCGAUGUUGGAUUAAGAUUAAUUUUUGGUGUAGGAGCUGAAGAUGAUUAGGUCUGUUCGACCUUUAAAAUCUUACAUGAUCUGAGUUCAGACCGGCGUGAGCCAGGUUGGUUUCUAUCUAUAAUGAAUUUUUAUACCUUAGUACGAGAGGACCGGGUAUUUGGAAUAAUUUUGUUUGUUUAUUGUUUGUUAUUAAUUGG
rnacentral:rRNA from 1 species